rnacentral:tRNA from 1 species
GCGGCGGUGGCGGAACUGGCAGACGCGCAGGAUUCAGGAUCCUGUCCCGCAAGGGGUGGGGGUUCAAUUCCCCCCCGCCGCA